AUUGAACGCUGGCGGCAGGCCUAGCACAUGCAAGUCGAGCGGAUGAAGGGAGCUUGCUCCUGGAUUCAGCGGCGGACGGGUGAGUAAUGCCUAGGAAUCUGCCUGGUAGUGGGGGAUAACGUCCGGAAACGGGCGCUAAUACCGCAUACGUCCUGAGGGAGAAAGUGGGGGAUCUUCGGACCUCACGCUAUCAGAUGAGCCUAGGUCGGAUUAGCUAGUUGGUGGGGUAAAGGCCUACCAAGGCGACGAUCCGUAACUGGUCUGAGAGGAUGAUCAGUCACACUGGAACUGAGACACGGUCCAGACUCCUACGGGAGGCAGCAGUGGGGAAUAUUGGACAAUGGGCGAAAGCCUGAUCCAGCCAUGCCGCGUGUGUGAAGAAGGUCUUCGGAUUGUAAAGCACCUUAAGUUGGGAGGAAGGGCAGUAAGUUAAUACCUUGCUGUUUUGACGUUACCAACAGAAUAAGCACCGGCUAACUUCGUG
rnacentral:rRNA from 1 species